CGAUCCCGUCUGGCUCCACCA
rnacentral:tRNA from 8 species